rnacentral:rRNA from 1 species
CAAAGAACUUUGAAGAGAGAGUUCAAGAGAAUGUGAAACCACGUGGGGCUAAGCGGAUAGAGUUGACGAAACUGGCAGUGUUCAGUGCUCGUGAUCGGGUUCGCUCGUGAUCGGGUGCGCAUUCAUUGUCGGUACGUGCUGGGACGUUCGGUGAGCCCUUCUGAAGGCUUCAGAGUCACCCAAGCUUGCUUGGUAGUGUUCUGUCGUCGGAAGUUGAUGUGCUCGCUGAUCGUAGCGGUGGCCGUGCCUCUGCGCGUUCGUUCGUUAGUUGGUGUGCUGCUUGGUAGUCGGACAUGUCUGGCUGCCUCGUACGUGUGCUGAUUAGCGGGCGCUCGCCUAUGGCCCACUCCCGGUAUGGAAANUCGACCACCUAUCCGACCCGUCUUGAAACACGGACCAAGAAGUNUNGUANGUACGCGAGUCAUUGGGUAUUAAACCUAUUGGCGCAAUAAAUGUGANGGGCGGCUUGUUCGUCUGAUAUGUGAUCCGUCGGUCUCGGCCGGCGGCGCAACAUAGUCCCAUGCCUACUGCUUGCAGUGGUGUGGAGAUGGAGCGUACACACUAGGACCCGAAAGAUGGUGAACUAUGCCUGAGCAGGACGAAGUCAGAGGAAACUCUGAUGGAAGUCCGAAGCGGUUCUGACGUGCAAAUCGAUCGUCGGACUCGGGUAUAGGGGCGAAAGACUAAUCGAACCAUCUAGUAGCUGGUUCACACCGAAGUUUCCCCCAGGAUAGCUGGCACUUAUGUUUGUUGUAUCUUGUAAAGCUAAUGAUUAGAGGACUUGGGGACGAAAUGUUCUUAACCUAUUCUCAAACUUUCAAUGGGUAUGAUGUCGCGGUUGCUUAAGUGAACCGUGGCUGCGAAAGCGAGUGCCAAGUGGGCCAUUUUUGGUAAGCAGAACUGGCGAUGUGGGAUGAACCAAACGUUGGGAUAAGGUGCCUAACUCUCCGCUCAUGAGACCCCAUAAAGGGUGUUGAUUGAUAUAGACAGCAGGACGGUGGCCAUGGAAGUCGGAACCCGCUAAGGAGUGUGUAACAACUCACCUGCCGAAUCAAUCAGCCCCGAAAAUGGAUGGCGCUUGAGCGGGGGACCUAAGCCCAACCGUUGUUGGCUUGUACGUUUCGUGCGUCUGGCCUCAACGAGUAGGUGUGUCGCGGCGGUUAAGCGUUGAAGGCUUAGGGCGU